AGAAGUGUGGGAACGCAUGCAGCAAACCUGAUUGGUCUGUAAGGAAAAACACCCCUUCUGUGUAUUUUGUGUACUCCUGUAUAAAACUUAAUGGUACCGAAGAAGAGGAUCUUUUGUCUGACAGGGAGACAUUAGAUCCUAUUUGUAUACGGGAACAAUUGUGUGCUCCUGUAUACAAGUAGAAAUAAAAACCCUUUCUUUGUUUCUUAAGUUUACUUGUAUCAGAUUUUUUCUCUCCAGAUACAGACACAUAAUUCGCGGAUCUAACAAUUGGGGGCUCGUCCGGGAUCCCAACAUCUCAUCGCACCCUACGGUAAACCCGCCAGACCAGUAGUUGUAUACGUGAGUUGUCCGGGACAACCCGCCGCUGGGCGAACCUAGAUCGAGAAGGAUCGAAAGGCCGUAUACAAGAAUUAUCUGGGAUAAUUUGCUCGCACACUCUACAGCCUCGAACGGUGAGGAUCCCCCUUAGAGAAAGUCGUCCUCGACGUACAAGUGGGGUGAGUUGUGGAGCCGGUCUGGGGGCAAACCGGGAGAGUGGACUAUCACCGAGACAUCGUUGGUCCCCUCGCUGCAACCGGGAGACUGGAUCCUGAUUAAAGACGUAAAAAGAAAGACCUGGCAUCACCCUAAAUGGAAGGGACCGUUUCAAGUCCUCCUGACUACUCCCACCACCGCUGUUAAAAUUGCAGAAAGAACUACUUGGAUACAUUUGACACAUUGUAAAAA